CUUUACUUCUGACUUAGAUUGAGGAAGCUCAUUGGCUCCAGCCUGACAAAUCGUGUCUAGCCUCCAACUCUAACCAGUCAUGUUCUCUCACCUUCUACUUAAGCAAGACUUACCCAGCCUAUCUGGUCUGCUGCUGAUUGAAGGGAAGGUUGACCUUGAGGCCUUAGAGUCCUGGAGACAUCUAAGCUGGUUUCUCUUUUCUGUCAAUGUAUAAUUCUCUCUGCUCUUCUGUUUCUGCCUCCUUUGAGAGGGAAUUUCCCACUGCUUUGCUGUAGGAAAGACAGGCAAAAUGAAGAUGGCACCUAUAUUCAGUCUCCUUUCCUUUCCUUUCCUCUCACUCCUAAUCACAAAAUAUGCCUAAGAGGUCGAGCUUGGAUAAUAAACUGAACAUUCUUUCAUCUCACUAGUGAAAAAGUGAAACUUGGUACUGAGUUGAAGAAACACUUUGGGUUGAUCAAAUACUGGAAACGACCUCUUCAGGUGGAGCUCGUUCCUCCUUUCCUGGCUUCCUUUACUUGGCUUGUUGUGGGUUGGAAAACAUGAGACUGGGAAUAACUCUCAAAGAUGAUGCUAGCUAUGGGGCUGGGGUGGGAGCAUUGACCCUGCUUUCAUUAGGAAGGGCAUUCUUAAUUCUUGACUUAGUGUCUCUUACAAUGGAAGCCUGCAAGAAGGACCUUAUCUGGUUGGCUCAAGCUCUGGGUCUGACUGUAGCAUAACCUCUUAAAACUAGUCCCACCCUCCUAGAGAGGGAGGGUUAUGGGCUACUUUCUUUCCUAUACUGACUCAAAAUAUCCCAAAGCAACGGGAAGCUAUCUAUGUAUACAGUCUAUUGUCCCCCUUGUUCCUUGGCUAGGCCUCCUUUAGAGCUACCUUCUGCCCUAAAGCCAUCCAGACCUUCUUUCAGGAAGGGUUCAAAAUAGUCCUACAAAAUGGACGUCUGUCUUGUCUGAGAUCGGUUUUUUUAGCAAAGCCUCUUUUCAGGAUACGAGGGCUAUUAGCCUAAUUUAUCUUCUCUGAUUCUCUCCAUUCCUCUUAAUCAACUUCCUUCUGAGGCAACUUGAAAUCUGGAAGACACUUGAGUGUUCAUUUAGAUUGUGAUUCCAUUUGUCUUGCUGGAAUUCUGGAGGCAAGUCCCAAGACUAGGGAAUGAUUCAUAGUGGGGGAUGGAACAUACUAUCUGUAAUGUCCUCAUAUCCCUGUUCAGCCUCCCUCUUCCUUUACCUUUGGAGCUCAGGACUUGGCGUUUACUUUGUCCUCAUAGGAAGAGCUCAUGGUCCCUCUGACUGUGUACUUCCUUGGCUCCUAGCUGUUCAGUCCUUAAGAUUCUUUGACCUUUGUCUCAAGUGAUCUCUCUAAUAUCUCUCAUGGCCCUAGACUCAAUCAUAGCAAUCCUGUUGAAUCACCAAUCUGCAGUUUUAUUGUGGGAUCCUAAGCCCGAGAGUUCCCUUCCAUGUAUCUUCAUAUCCAACCUACAGAUCUUUGACUUCAAGAAUCUCUACUUCAUAACCCAUUUUUGUGACAGUUUUCUGCUGUCAUGUUACUUGGUGUACAGUUGAGUCUCACCUCAUAAUACUCUGAUUUAAACAAUAAGAUCUCUGGAAUGUAUAUGGGCUGGGGGAUGGAAUUGGACAAGUAAAUAGGAUUGUGACUGAUCCUAGAAGUUUUCCUCUUUCCUUCACACUACUUCUGUCCUUAGAGAAAGAAAGAAUCCUGAUGCAGGCAUAAGAAGCCAUGAUAUGCACUGAGACCUUGUUGAUGGAUGAAAUCUAACUGCUCUUCCUGUAGGACUCAUUUGUCUAUCCCUUAAAGGGGAUUCAAAGUGUUUUUUACUUAGAGUGCAUGAGUAGUUCUGACUGAGGGCUGGGCUAUGUCCUUAAUUCAUAAUAUCACAGAUGAUCAUCACUAAUAAGACUGUGGACCCUGCAGGGUUAGAUAGUCUCACUCGUGUCUGACUUCCUUUGGAGAGAUUACCUUGAUGUAAUGUAGGAUAAAUGAAAACUCUUCUGUUUUGUGUUGCAAUGGCUCAUGAUAGGGAUAGCUAGGAUCCCGUUUCCUAUAAGCUCUCACAAAAACUUUAGAAAAAUGUCUCACAGCAUACCAGCCACCACUAACAGUGAUAAUUAGUGUGGUGAAAAAGUUGCAGCUGCCAUAUUUUGGGAAGGAAGCCAGUCAAGGUCUGGAUCAAAGGAUGGGGAAAGAGUUUGUAGCAGGGAAGAUGAAAGCAGGGACAACUUAAGAACUGCCAUGUUCAGGAGAAGGUUCUCCUUGCAGUAGAGUGCCACAGGUGUCUGUAUUCCCAACUACUUUCCCUCAGGGAAAGCAGCAGUCCUAUGGGAGUAGGAGUUGCUUUCAACCUAACAUGUAUUUUCACAGCUACCAUUUACAGACAUAACGUUACAUCCCAGUAGAGGUCUUCCUAGUUCCAGUUUUCCUAAUACAACUUGUUGUCUUAGGACUUUUGUCACAAAGGAACUGAAAAUUUGACUCUAUGGUGGUCACCAGAUUUUUGUGCCUGAACAACUAUUCUUCCAGCUGAGGACUAUUCAGAUUACCUGCAAGCUUUUUGUUUACCAUUCUUGUGUGAUGCCUCCUUAGCUGGUUCAAUUCAGGAUGCUUUAAAGUAGACUUACUGUUGUGCUAUUUGUUUUAGUGGAAGCUGUAGAGAUAAGAGCAGGAAUAAUUGUCCUUCAGAAAAGGACAUGACAAGGUAAUAACAUCUUCAGCUCUUGCAUUGCUGUGUUCUGUCACUGAGGAUCCCAAGCCCCCAUCAGGGGCUUCUCUGGAGUUUGCAUGUCCUAAACUGGUAUCAAGAAUUCUCUUCUUGAGUAGAUCUAAAUGGGAAGUAAUAGUUCUUGUGAGAGGGCAAGUCUGGACUCACUGCACGUAAGAGCUACACUGAAGGUCUGUCUCCUUCCCGUUCCUAUAAGCAGACUUAGGAUUGGCUGCAUUACUCAAGCUCUCUACAGAGGUAGUGGCAUCAAUAGCCAUAAAAACUGUAGGAAUAUGUGUUGGUGGGGAUGUAUGGUUAAUGCAAAUACAGUACACGCUUUUUCCUUCUGGCUGUUGUGUGUUACUUACACUUGUUUCUGGGUCAGCAAGCUUUGUAAUGUCUCUUCUGCAAUGACCAAGAGCUAAUGCAUCUUCUUAAAGAAUCACUCUUUGACUUGACUGUCAAGUAACAAACCAUAAACACUCAUUCCUCUGACAGAGUACCUCUUAUAAUCAGUCACCUUCCCCACCAAUGGCUGCCUAAUGUUCAAAAAAGUUCCUUAUCCUUGCGCAGAAAGACAGUUUUUGGAUCCACCCAUGAAUCAAACUUGGGCAUUUUCUUCCUCAUAGUGUCUGUCUCCCAUGCUCUGGAUAACACGUGACUUAACAAGGCCCUCCAACAUGCUACAUCUCAAGUGCUCAAUAGCCAUGUGUGGCUAGCGGCUACUGAAUUGUAUAGCAGAUUGGAGAACAUUUUCAUCAUAAACAUCCUCUUACAGCACUGCUUCAGGACUCCUUAAAGUGAAGUUAGCCCUGGGGCUAAAUGAUAAAUGUGUGUAGUGUCCAUUUCACGUUGAUGUAGGCUGUUCCUCAGCCCCUUUCCUGAUUCUGUAGAAAAGCAUUCACCAAGUCAAAGGCUAGAUACUGUGUCCCUGAGACUGUCGAUGUUCUCUAGCAGAGAGCACAUCUGACAAGGCAGCUUAAUUGAGGUUAACACUUGAAUUUGAGGUAGACUCACUCUUAGGUCUCAUACUGGUGAAUUAAGUGAGAAUAUAAUGAGGACCACCACCCCCGCAUCCUUUAGGUCAUUUUGAAAGUGUCACUAACUUCCUCCAUCCCUUCAAGCACACAAUCUUUUUAUUUACUAUCUUAUCCUGAGAAAGGGGAAGUUCCAAAGGCUUCUCCUUGGCCUUCUCCACUACACCUCUUGCUUCAUAGGCCAAGACCCUGAAUAGACAGGUGUACCCAUUCUGACUAGACAUUAAGGCAAGAGGGAUGAUCAUCAGGUGCAUCCCCAAACCAGAGGACCCACUAAGAGCUGGAUAUUGGUGAGGAAUCCACUUAUUACCUGGCCCUCCUACACAUCCACUGUGACAGGGGAUCCAUAAUGAAUCUUUGGAUUGCUGGAUAUCAGUGUUACCCAGAAGUCAUGUCACACAUUCUCCAAAUGGUUGGUUACCCUUUUUCCGGUCUACAAUUACCUGAAUAAAUGGCUAUAGGUCUCUUUUGGAGAAGAGACUGGGGGAAUCAUUACCAUGCACCCUUCCCAGGGUUUUGCUGAGUUCCUCCUCUCAGAAAGGAAGACACAUUCAGUCAAUGGGUUCCAAGUCUAAACACAGGGCAAAAGAUUAUGAAUAUUUAUUGGGGAAACUGCCCUUAGUCUCCUGAUUGUCCAUCUCUUAUUUGUGCAGAUGGAGUACUCUUGCUGCCUUUUACUCCUAGGAUCAUACAGAACACAUGUUAAUAGAACAAAUUUCACAAAUGCCUAGUGUGUCAUGCCACUUAGCACAUUUCUUUUUACCAAUAUAUCAUCCCAAUACACCAUCAGUAAGUUUUAAUGAUCAGACUGCUACCAGAGGUUGUCUGUUCUUUAUCUACCAUGAGGGAUGGGGUCUUCAUUACCAGAUAGACAGAAGUGCUGCAACUCGAAGAUCUUAUCUUAGUGUCUACUUUCUUGGAUCUCUCUCAGUACAAAAUGUUGGUUGUGCAGGAUGUGUAAAGUGUGCCCUGUGGAAGGGAGUGAAAAGAAGUGCACAGAGAUAAAAAGCAAGCUAUGAUGCAGAUUCAAUAGUAGUUUUUGCCCAACUCCUCCAGGAGCUUUGUUUCUAGAAUGGUCUUUCAGCUUUGUCCUAAUUUGGGCCAUGUUAACCAUGUUUAUCCCCUCAUUGGUCAGUCAUUGGGCUGCCCUAGAAGAUGUAUGGCCCUGAAGUUUGAGAAUGAGGAUCCCUAAAGAGGCCAACAGCUAAAGGCUGGUUGGUGACAACGGUGGAGGCAACAAAUCUCUCACUAAAGGGAAGCUGGGUGGCACAUCAUUGUCUAUUACACUUGACCAAGGGAUAUCUGCAGAUUUCCUGGGUUAGGCCUUAAGGAGCCUAAGAAACUUGAAGUUUAAGUCUUGCUAAAUGAGAACCCUAGAUAUGUCACCUGGUGAAAUAACAUUUGGAGAUCUCUGAUCUUCAGAACUAACUUAAUUUGAAUGGGUUAAUCCUUGUUUGUAUGAUUGGGAAGGGGUAUAAAAUCUCCAUGAGAUCCUUUAUUGGUCAAGAAAAGUAGUAAAAAUUAAGUUUAAUCAAGCCAGUGGCUUGGCCUCUGGUUUCUUGGUAAGGGGCCCUAUAAAGUUCCUCAAAGAGGCCUAAAUAUGGACACAACAGAUUCAAUUCUCCUGAAGUAAAGGACUCCCUGGCCUAGGGAAGGUCCUUACUUAUCCAAAAUAGCCCCUCCCUGCCCGACCCUCUUGUCCUUUCCUUAUCUCCUCAGCUCAACUGAAAAGAAAAAAGGGAAUGACUACAGGCAGAUGGCAUUUUAGGAGUGUUCAUGGUAGAAGGGCCAUGGAUGGGGGAGGUGAUGGGAGGAGUGGGGACUGGUCCGAGUCUCUGGUUGCUUUCAGAAGCCAGCCAUCUCCCUCUACCCCACCUUCUCCCAGUGCUCCUGCUAGUCAGUCACUUACAUAAGGCCUCAUUUUGUGUCCACUUGGUAACAUGAACUGAAGCAGAAACUCAGCCCCUGUCCCUUAGUCUCCUCAGGCAUUCUACUGGCAUUCCUUCAGGACUUCCUUCAACGUCAUUCUAUUAGUAUAUCUAAUCUAAAGUAAAUCUAGCUUUACCUGAAGACUCAGCAAGCUGAUUCAUGCCUACCAGUGAUUUUCCUGUUCUCCAGGUCUAAGACUUAAGAGCCAGUUGGAUCAGACUUUUUAAUGGGAAGUAAGCUUCUGCCUCAUGAGCUUGCAGAACAAUGCUCAAACCCUCAGGUUGAGCACUUGUGUUGUAAUCGCCUGGAGAAUUUUCCAUUUCAUCUUGUUUCUGGGUCUGAGUGAAAGAGAAACACUGCUCAACUAGAUUUCAGAAAUGAGAUGUUUCUUGCUUCCUGAAAUGACAUUAGUCAGGGAUAUUUCAUGCUAUAGUUGAAGUCUUUUUUGUGGCAAGGAAAUAACUUUUCUUCCCCACAUUCAUCUGUACUCUUUUCCAAGUGCAGAAUUGCCUUUUUCAAUGAAGUAAUCCAAGCAUAUUUUUCAAAAGCUACAAGAUACUCAGUACUGACUUCUGUAUAUUUCAGUAGCAUAAUAUGAAGUUAAGGGAAACUCCAUAGGAACUGCAGUUAUCAGUGUGAUAGAGAUCCGUUGACGCUUCCCCACUCUUGCUCAAAUGAUUCCUCAACAUGGGGAUAGUCCCAUUCAUUUGUCAUCAGCCUUUCAUCUGUAGCCUCUCUUCUUCAGGAGAAGCAGUAACCAGCUAGCUUAAAGACUUUCUCUUCUGGAGCCCAUAUCCCCUAAAGAGUCUUUUCCUCCUAGCAAGACAUUGCUAUAAGUUUGGCAAAAAGUUUACAUAUGUUUUACAAUGGGCAUCUUGGACUUCAGGGUGUCAUGCAUUGUCAUGUGUCAGAACAGUUGGAUCUCUGGCCUCCAGGGUUGUAUGACUUCAAGUCUGCUCUAGCUAGAGAUCAUCAUGAAGUAGGGAUUGGGAGAGAGAGGCCCUCUUUCCACAGAAGAGAUGAGACCUCUUUUCAAGUAGAACAUGCGUUCUGAUUAAAUAAUUCUUCUCUCAACAACAUUCUUUCCUCCAAAACUUAGUCAUAGUACAGUGUGUUAGACUCUUACCUGAGACUUUUGUUCUCUUGGGCACUUAAUCUCGGCCACCCAAUGACCACAAUUUCACCUACACUCUCCUGCAUUAUACUCCCGUAUACCUAAGUAGAAAAUGAAGCCACAUAUAGUGGGGUUCUUCUGCCUGAUCCUUGAUCAGAAUUCUUGACUCCUGCUUUUUCCUCACUACCUAUAUUCUUAGAACUUCUAUCCUUAAUCUGGCUUAAUUUACUAAUAUCAUGUCAGGAAAGAUUGUCUCCUUAUCAGAAAACCUACUUUGAUUUCAAAAUGUAGAAACAUACAUCACUUGGCUGAAAACUCAGUGUUUAGGCUUUGAAAGAAAUCAAUUUGCCAGUUGACUUUGAGAACAGUGGUAAUCCUAGGUAUCAGGAAGUUCCAGUGACACGAUUCUGAAACUCUUUUUGUGUUUAAAAAAAAAAAAUGAAAAAGAAACUUAGCACAACUUUUUUCUGUAGAAAUUUAGAACUCUUGUCAAUUUUCCUGCAACCAGUGUUUUUAACAUGAAAUAAGACAUGAUGAUCACUAGAUGCCUAGGCUUUGUAGACUUAAAUAUGUGGGUGGUAACUGACACAAACUAAGGUCUAAUUUAAAAUAGGUGAGAGCUAGGCCAUGAUUACUUUUAAUAGUCAAAUAGAUUACUCUGAAAACAUGGAGAUAAGACAUCACAAAGUAAUUUCUACCGGAAAGGUCUCUAUCAGACCCCCAAGUCUCACCACAUUAGGCCUCUCCAUUUUUUUUUAUCUCUGAUUCUGCUUCCAAUGGAUAUUAAGCACUUGAUAGAAAACAACACAAAUCACAGCCAAAUUUAACCUCUUAGCAUCUUGCUUAGGGAAUGUGAAAGUAUGAAGGCCCGAAUCUCAGAUAAAGCUAAUUAUGCCAACUGAAGGAAAUGGAAGAGACACUUCUUCUCGUUGCAUUUGUAGGGUCAAUGAACUUUAUUUUCCUGAUGGAAAGCAAAGCCUUUGAUAGCAAAACAAGCACCUAAGACGACCAUAAAAAUGUACAUCUGAUCAACUUGAGAGGACUAGUUUUGUUUUGAUAGGUUAGAGCCUAAAGAUGCUGGUGAAUGUAAACCUUCACAUUCUCUUUUUGUUGGGAGCCUUUCAGGAGCUGUGCUUAUGGCCUCAAGAAAAUUCAAGGAAAUCACUGAAAUCAGAUUAAAGGAUCACCAGUGACAGAAUCUGAAAAUAUUGAUGACUGGGGUUAAGUAAAACUAAACUGCUAAUUUGACAUUUAAACAGGCAACUUAUUCUCACUAAAUUUCUGUGAAGUUAGAGCAGUCCACAAGACCACUCCAUUUCUGAUUCCAACUACAGGGUUUGGGGUCCACAAAACCACCCUCAUUUCUGACAACUGUUAUAUGUUCAGAUCUCCUAGACCGCCCUCAGAGUUGGUAAUUCACUCAAGACUCACAGAACUCAUUAAAAGCUGUUAUAACUGCAGUUUCAUUGCAGUGAAAGGAUCCAGAUUAAAAUCAGAAAGGGCAGAAUCCCAAAAAGUGCUAUGCACAGGGAUUCUAGUGUCCCCUUCCAGUAGAGUCACAGCACUAACUUUCUUGGCAACAAUUUCUGACCAUUCAUAGGAUAUCUUCUAUCCAUGGAAAUUCAUCUGAGCCUUGUGUCCAGAGAUUUUUGGGGGCCUUGGUCACACAGUCCUGGCUGCCUGCUCAAGUGGCUAACUUCAGUCUCCAGCCCCUCCAGAGGUCAAGCUGACACCUGUGACCCAAAGCCCACACACUAAAUCACGUUGUUAGACUAUCUGAUGUGGCCCAAAGCCCCCAGGAAAACAGACACUUAUCAGGCAUGACAUUCCAAGAGCUUAGAGAUCACUUCCCAAGGGCUCAGAGAAUAAGGCCAGCCCAAAAUUUGGGUCAAGUCAAUUCUUCACUUAUUUCUUUAAAAACUUAUUCUAAAAUGAGGGCUUUUGAACUGUUAAGAACUCUGCUGAAUUUGCAGUGAAACCCCAACUUAAAGAUUCUCUAAGUUUUUAGUAGAUUUCAAACCUGGCUAUUCAGAAACAUGUAUCUAAAUUAAAUUCAAAAUGCAUAGUGUUUCGCUUUCACUAAGCCAACUUAAGAAUGUUGCUUCUUGGACAGCUGUUGCAAAAAAUGACAGCUGGAGAGAUUUCACUUUCUGUUGAAACACAUUUUGAAGGUAGUCGAAAAAUACCCAAUACUUAGCAACUAUGACUACCUUCUAAAAACUACUUCUACCUCUGAAUUGUAAGAAUAUGUAUAAAGGUUAUAACGAGAAAGUACUCUUUAGAAAAUAGCAGUUAUGAUAGGUUACCAAAAACUGGACCAGCUGGGCCAAAAUCAUCUAUGGCAUCAAUUAAAAGCAUAGAUUUUUCUCAACUCCACUGAAGACUCAGAGGCAAUCUCUGUAGGGCUCAAAUUUUACUUUCAAUAAGCUUCCUGAGCAAUUACGUACAGUCCUACUGCUCCAAAUGGAAAUAAAAUUGUAUACACACCAGCUUCUUUGAAAUGUUUACACAGCCACACUAAGCAAUACAUGAGUACAUCUUAACAGUUUAUUCUAUGUUUUCAUUAUUCUGACAUUCUUUAUAGAUAAACAGAAGUUACACUUCUAAAGUGAUAUUUAGCCACAUCCUAUGGUAUGAACUCGGUUUUAAUACAAAACACUCAUAGUAAAGAAUGCAAUUACAUAAGCUUCUUGUUGAACUAGCAAAUCUUUUUCUUUUUUUUUUUUUAACUACUGGCUUUGUGACAGAACAAUUGAGUUCCAGGAGUCACAUCUUGUUAAAGAGCAUAUCACAUUUCUACUUCUCUAGAAAUAGUACUUCCCAUUUCCUUAGAAGUUUCUAUGAUUUGUGUCUUAAUUCUAGAGCAGUAUUUUGAUGUGUAACUAGACAAAGACUUAAUAGCAGUGAGACUAUCAGCUGAAAUAGCAAUAGGCUUCGCCUACUUCUAAAAGCAUAAUGUGAAGAACCCCACUGUACCUCGUGUGAGCUGAAAGUUGACCCAGGUAUGGACCAAUUGCAGUACAAUUCUUCCAAAUGUUGACCUGCCGAUGAACUAAACAUAGUCUCACCUCUAUUUAGAAUAUAAAAAUGUCCUUUUGGUUACUUUAGUUUGAUAGGGUAACACAGGCAUCUGAACUACGAAAGUUUACUGAAUUGGAGAGAGAAUCUUUCUAUUCCUCAUGCUGAGCUUUGCUAUUGUCAAAGUUCUUUGACAAGCUAGCCAUCUGCUAUGGUCUUCCAUACAGAAUACACACUGUGAGACCUGGAACUAGCGUAUAUGUGAAUACAAUGUGUGCUCCUUAGUACAGAUAAUGUACUUAAAAUGAAUGUCAAGUCCUCAUGGGGAGUUCACCUUGUCCACACUUCUACAAUCUCUACGUAACCUUGAGGCAACCAGCAAUACAUAUCUUUGGGAGACAAAUGUUGUACCUCAGGUUGCACUUCAUUUGUCCUUCUCUGUAGCAUCUUCAAAAACAGACUGUAAAAUUAGUUAGGGUGGGAGUAAGAUUUUUCUAAAAACCAGAAAACUAACUCACAGUAAUAAAGGUAGUACUUUCCCAUGAGUUGUAGUGAAACACAGGCCUACUCUAUAUUAUCCUGAAUCCGAAUAUAGAAAUCAGGGGCUAGAAAUCAAACAGCAAUUAGAUUCAAAUCACUAAGUUAUCUUACUGAGUUAAGAUAAAGGUGAAAUCCUGUACACAAAGACCUGAUUGUCUUGUUUACCAUGAAUCUGCUGAUCUGUGAGACUCUACCUAGACUCAGGGGCCUGUAACAGUCUUGGAUCUAUAUAACUAAAAUGACGCUACUCUGAUGGGAAAUCAAUGCAGCGAUCCGUGUGAAGGUGGAACAUGACACAUUUUAGGCUCAUCCUUAACCACCAUUCACAUCUCUGCAGGGACGAGGGGUCCAAGAAGCUGCAUAGUCGUAGGAUUUCCUGAUAGGAUUGAGGAUGGUGGACAGCUCUAUUUCCUGUCCUGUUUCUAUAAAGCUAAGUCAACUUUAUGCCAUGUUAAAAGCCUAUUGUAUCUUAUUAACAUACUAAUACAAAUGUGACCACUGCUGCUAGUGGCUCAUCUAUUCUAAUAAUUCCACUUCUGAUGGAUUCUAAUUCAGUGGAGGUUUUUUUUGGUGAGGAAGAUUGGCCCUGAGCUAACAUCCAUGCUAAUCUUCCUCUAUUUUGUACGUGGGAAGCCACCAUAGCGUGGCCUGAUGAGCGGUGCAUAGGUCCAUACCCUGGAUCCAAACCGGCAAACCUCAGGCUGCUGAAGUGGAGUACACAAACUUAACCAAUAUGCCACUGGACAAGCCCCUUCAUGGAGUCUUUUUUCUUCUGAAAUAUUUGUUCCUCAAAUCUUUGUAUCAUCCUGUGAGUUCACUUCCACUGGUGAUAUUGACUACUAUCACAAUGCACAUUCACUGCAGAUUCCCCAGCAUCAGAGGAUGUAUAAGCCCCAGGAUGAAGAGUGCAAGGCACCAAGUAUAGACAGUAAAUCUUUCCCCUGCCCACAAAACAAAUUGACCUGUGUCUCCUAGGGAGAAGCAGAUUUAGGGGGAGAAAUCUCCAUGGGUAAAUUGCCAGUCUUGAGAAUGUAAGAGUGGUAGGGACGUUAUUACUUGAGAUUAGUUGUACUGUACUCGAGCUAUUUUUCAUGGCUUCUCUGCUGCCAUGACUACUUCUGAGGACGCAAGUCAGCACAAGUGUCAAGUAAGCACUGCUUGUUCUAAAAGCAAUGCAGGCAAGGAACAAGACCCAAACUCAUACAGUUCAUUUUCUGCUGUAUCUUCUCAUUGCACUGUUUGGCCUGACACAGAAGACAUCCAAAGCCACUGCCCCACAAACUCACCGGUCAUUCCCCAGCUCAACCUCCCCUAGAGUCGCAACUUCUGUUCUAGAGUUUCCCACAUAUGGCACCUCUUGGACUGAUCUUGAGGAAGAGGACCAGCAGUUAUACUUGUUCACCAUCUUACUUUAAUGUGAACCUCACCCCUCCCCCCGCCAAGAAGACAUUUAAAGGUGCUCGGGACCCAGUCUUUCAAAGUUUUUCUGUCUGACCUUUGUGAUUCUAACAGGCCCAUCUAAGAUUUCUCCAUGUUGGAGAUUCUCAUCUGUGUGAUGGAUACUAUAUUACAAAAGAACUUAGAAAAAUAUUUUCACUUGUCAGGUGUCUAUAUCUACCUCUAAUGCCCUGAAAUCUUAACACAGAUCAUUCAACAGCACUCGAGGGAUGAACUGUAGUCUGAGGAGGAAGGUAUUUGUUUGAUAUGAUAUAGGAAAUAUAAAUUCAAUUAUUUGUCACCAAAGAUGGGCAAAGACCAUUAGCCAUGAAUGUCUUAAUAUUGAAACCUUACUUUU
rnacentral:lncRNA from 1 species